GUACGGUGGUGCAGCGGGUUUGGCCGGUUCCUACUUGGGGUAGGAAUUUGCUUUGCAAUGGACUGGCGUCCCGUCCUGGGUGUGUCCCCUCCCCCUCCGGCCUUACGCCCUGUGUCGCCGGGUUGGGCUCCGGUUUGCCGGGACCCAGUUUGGGACCAGCGGUUUCAGACUGUGUGUGCGUUAAACCACAUGUUCUGUGCUGACAGACACAAGUGAGACGCCUCAUUUUUGCUCCAAGUGCCUUAAGCCCCUCCCCCCGCAGCGUUUGCUGAAGAAGGAAAGACCAGUAUAUACGAAGAAGAAGCCCCCCCCACACACACACACACACACACACACACACACACACACACACCCUCAACCUGGAAUGUCAGGUUCACGUCACUACUGCCCCCCCCAAGUCAACAGGUCCCCAGCAUGGGGCGGGGGGUGCGGUGAUCAGGUGAGCGUCUCCAUGGGGAAACGCCGAGUUCCUGUCGCUGGGGCUCACCUUCCCCUUCCCAUAAGGGGUGCUGGACAGCUGCUGGGACGGGUCACCAUGCUGCUGCUCAUCGUACUGUGUGUGUCGGCGAGGGCAGAUUACGUCACGGUCAACGUGACCUUGGGAAGGUCCACCACGCUGGUCGGCACCCUGGUCCAGGUGCACUGCCAAUUCUCCAAAAUCUUGAACCCUCUCUACUACGAGUGGUACCACCAGAAGUAUGUGGGGAGUGAGCAGAGGCUGGUCGCUACGACCCAAACCCUGACCCUGCAGCACCCUGUUGUGGGGAUUCUGGGAAUUACACGUGUGCCAUCGCCACUGCCAACGGCAUCUAUACAGAGACUGUAGUUCUGACUGUCAUUGGUAUGUAUAAAUACUGAUUUUUACACCCUUUUACCGCAAGCUUUCAUAUAUUCACACAAAAGGUCAUGCUGUACAGUAUCUGGGCUGCUCCUCAGUCUGUCCUCUUCUAUUUCCUGUCUCCUCAGAGAAGCUGUCCCCACUGUCCGUGGCGGUGGUUCCUCAGCACGACCCCUUGCGGGAGGGGAGCAGGGUCACCCUGCGCUGCGUGGCCACCUCAGAGCCACCUGCCAUGGCAUGGAGCUGAGAGAGGCUGGAGCCGGGAGGCUCAGCAGGAGCUCUAGGCAGGAGCUAAACCUGUGCUCUGUGGAGGACAGCGGGGUGUAUCGCUGCUUGGGCCGCAGCUCCGUGCAGGGCAUCCUACAGGAGGAGACCAGCGGCAAUCACAGCGUGCUCAUCACGGACUGGCAGCAGUCGCCAGGUGCGUGUCUGUGAGCAGCGUGUGUGUGUAUGUGUGUGUGUGUGUGUGUGUGUGUGUGUGUGUGUGUGUGCGCGUGCAUGGUGUCAGUCAAAUUUUGAGUACAUGCUUGAAACCAGACCUUCUUUGACCAAAAGAUGCAGAAACUGGACAUUCAAGGAGUGGGAGCUGGCCUUACGGACCAGUGAGUAAAAUGUGAAAUGUUUCCGUCCAUCUGAUGAGCACUUGUGAGACCCAGGGAGGGUGAGUGCGUCAGUUGUGCCUGUCUGGUUCCAGCAGUGCAGGAUGGUGGUGGCAGUGUGAUGACAUGGGGAUGCUUUACUGAUCUAUGCCAGCUCCAUGGUAAGAUCAAGCACUACGGCAACCACAUUGUACUACGGAGAUGCACCGUUCCAUGAGCCAGCUGGACGGUCCUUUGUUCUUCACCAAGACACGAACCCGGAACACACCUCAGAGUGGUGCAAGAACUGGUGAAGGACAAUUCAAUCUAAUGAGCUGGACAUGAAUUGUCAACUAUGGGGGGAAAAAAAAAACGGUUUCCAACGGGUGUACUCAAACUUUUGACGGGCGCAGUACGCGUGUGUUUGCGGUAGACGUGCCAACGCGCACGUGUGUGUCUUUCCUUGAUUAAUGGCGCUGCGAAAAGGCUCCACGAAGAGGCGCUUGGAUCGCUCAUCCGCUCUCGCCUCAUUAGACACGCAAAGCCUUCCCCUCCCGCUCUUUGUCUCGAUCAAAGGGCGCUAAUGCCUCGACACGGCGCCGCUGUCACUCGACGCCCGGCGUGGAUUCCUUGCAAGAAAUACGACUCGCCCCGAUAAGCGCGCCUUCGUGCAAAUGAAAUAUGCAAAUGUAACGAUGAUGAGCAGCCACGUCGGACAGCGCGGUGCCGCUUCCAGUCCAGCUUCGCCGCUCCGAGACGAACGUGUGUCACGCCGUGUUGCUGAGAGGGCGUCUUCCGGCGGUGAUAGGUGGAGCUGAGAUCAUGCUGUCGGUGACGGUGGCAACGAAGACGCGACGACGACGCUGACGAUGGACCGGAUCAUGAUGGACGAUGGCGUUUCUCCUCUUUUGCCGCAGCCCUCGCGUCUCACGUCUUCGUGAGCACGGCCUCCUUCGUCCUCGUCCUCCUGGCCUGGGUGGUGCUGCUUGCGGUGGUCGCCAUCCUGUGUCUGCGGUCGACCGGGCUGGAGAGCGGCCUCAACCCAGCAGCUGCGCACACUUCAACCGCUGGUGAGGGAGCGGUCGGGUCAAAGGUCCACCGGGCCACGGAAAUUCGGAGGACCGGAGAAGCUUGACCGUGAUCCGGUUCCAAUGUGACCUCAUGUUGUGUUUGUGUUCAGGGCUCUCCGGACCCGCUUCCGCAUCCAAGUAAGCGUUCGGUCGGCGUCGCGUCCUCGGCUCUUCUGCGUGUCCGCCGUGUCUCCAUGUGUCUCUCCGUCCUGAGCUGUCCUGCUGCUUCUCCAGUGUGUUUGUCCAACAAAGCGCAGUGACACCUCAAGUCACAGGUGGACACUGCGGCGGAGCUCCUCCGACGGUGUCCCGCUCUCGCCGGACGGGGGGGGGGGGAACGCACACUGACGCCGGAGGUCCCUUGCAGGACGCCCUGAGGGGGGGCAGGACGCGAGGACCUCUACAUCAACAGCUACUACGACCUGAGCCUGUCUGAGGUGGCAGAGGAGAACAUCUACGACAACCUGUCCCGAAGACCGCGGCCGCCGUUCACCUGCUGACCGGUGACCCCUCGGCCAGUGCGCGUCCCCAACCCGGAAGACAGCGCACGCGGCGGGCGGGCGGGCUGCGCAGGGCAAAGCUCCAGUUCACGUGCGUGCGUGGCUGACGGAUGAUGUGUCCGGCCGUCGCGUGACGGUCGCGUGGCGGUUAUGCUUUGCACGUAGCAGGUGAGCGGCAGGUGCAGAAUGAAGCGGGGAAUCGUAGGCUGCCGAGGAAUCGGGCGCCAGCUGGACGGGGAAACACACGUGUUUCGACCAAUAAACGAAUCGUUCGGCUCUAGACGUGUCUCCGG
rnacentral:lncRNA from 1 species